GGCCUCCAAAGAUUAAAGUAAAAAGCAAAAAUAGAACAAAGCGCCAACAGCUCAGGCACUAAGAACAGCUCCGAAAGCUUCUAUAUGGCAAAGGAUGCCAUCAUUCAGACAGAGCUACAAAAUGGGAAACGAUUUUUACCAACUAUACAUACAACAGAGGGCUAAUAUCUAAAAUGUAUAAAGAACUCAAGAAAUUAACAUCAAGGAAACAAGCCAGCCAUUUGCGAGCAGCCCUGAGCUGGGAAGGGUCUGUGGAAGUCGGGGCUUACACGCUGCUCCUUCUCCUCAGACUGGUCCCCGGCCACCUGUGGCCCUGCCUCCACGUCAUCCUCUCCGCGGUCGCAGGGUCCCCGCACUUCCCAGGGCCGCAGCGGCUGCGUUCCCUUCGGAGGCCGCAGCCCAAGGGCCGCCCUAGUGGCCCUCAUGAUGGUCAGGGGCAUAUCGACCGCUACCUGCAGGAUCUGGUCUGCGGCAUCUGCCACCACAAGGAGAACGAGGUGAGCGGGCGAGGAGCGGGGCUGCGGCAUCUGCCACCACAAGGAGAACGAGCCUGUGACUUAAGAAAGAAGUGGCUGCUUAGCUCAGUGGAAAGACACAGCCAUCCUCCUGGACAGGAAGGCCAUACUAAAAGAGGGUGUCCAUGACAGGAGUCGCUGUGGCCACACUGUCUCUUCGAAGCAAUAAAACCCUAAUUAAGACACUGCCCAUAUACCCAAAGGAUACCUCAUCCUACCACAGAAGCCAUUGCUCAACCAUCUUCGUUGCUGCUCUAUUCAUAAUAGCCAGAAAUUGGAAACAAUCUAGAUCUUCAUCAAUGGAUUAAUGGAUUAAAAAAAAACAUGUGGUACACUUACACAGUG
rnacentral:lncRNA from 1 species